rnacentral:lncRNA from 10 species
CUGAGAUCUGAGGAAUGCCCUGGAGGAACAUCAGGGAGGAAAAAUCUGUCAGUGGACUUACCCCAGGCAGUGGAGAGUUACUGGUUUCACAACUUGUUUCUUAUGCUAAUUCCCAUAAUUGAAUCUGCAGGGGGCAGGGAGGGGGGAGGGGAAUCCCAGAAAAACUAUUCCGAGUGUUUGGGUGGAUAGUGAGUAGGAAAUGGCAGUCCUAGAGAAAAACCCUGUUAACCACAUUUUAUAAGUUGUUUUUCCCAAAGGGAAAAACCUAAACCUGCCACUGCCUGGAGGCUGGGUGGCUGGGUGCAUGUCUUCCUUGCAUUUGAGGUGCUUCCUAUAAGGAAGACGUUGACCCAAUUUAAGGAGAUUGGUGGCUGUGCAGAUGCCCUCCCUUGGGACAUCUCUGGGAGCUUGGCUGAAGCUGGGUUCCCAGUAGGGAUUUUGAAAAGAAGCCUUCAUUAUUGGCAUAGGAAACACCCACACUUCCAUCUCCUCCCUGCAUUUCCCCAGGACUCUUGGUCUCAGAGCUGCAAAGAGAGUGAUGCCCAAAGGUUGGACUUCUGUAUCAACAUCCAGCCUCCGAAAUCAACGAGACUUCCUUAUCAUCAUCCAACACCUGUGUUCAGUUUUCUCUGUCUCUAAAAUGUCCUCCAACAGUUGGUCUGUUUGAAGGGAGAUUCAACACAAGGCCCACACACUGCUUUUGGCUGACUAUGGCACCUAAGCUAUUAGCCGCCCCAGCCCCCAUUUAGUUUUUGAAUAAACUGCCCAACCUCUCUGAACCCCUCUGGAGGGAAUGUGACCUGCGUAAGUCCAGGUGUCUACAGUUAGCCGCUCCUUCUGGCCCAGUGCAUGCACUUGAUUCGGGUAGCCUGGGCCCAGCCCCAGCAAGGACUGCCCAGCUGCCCUGAAGCUAACUCUUGGCUGGGGCAGAGGCAGGCAGGCUCCCAGCCCUUGGCCUCUGUGAGGCCACAGCAGCCCUGGGGGCAGGGCGGGGAGUAAGUGGGAGCAGAUCCAGGGUAGUUCACAAAAGCACCAUCUCUUUAGAUGGCACAGAAGCAGGGUGGCCAUGGGCUAGGGGCUUGAGCCCUGCAGCCCAGCCCCCCUCUUGAGCUUAGCCUGGCUGGCACACCUGGCUUCCUCCGGUGACUCACCUACCACCUGCUCAGCACAUCAGCCGGUUAUGGGCUGAGACAGCCCACAAGAGCAGCUGGGCUGGG